rnacentral:rRNA from 1 species
AUUGAACGCUGGCGGUAUGCUUAACACAUGCAAGUCGAACGAUGAGAAAGAGCUUGCUCUUUCGAUUAGUGGCGGACGGGUGCGUAACGCGUAGGAAUCUACCUAUUAGUGGGGGACAACUUAGGGAAACUUAAGCUAAUACCGCAUACGCCCUACGGGGGAAAGAAGGGGAUCGCAAGACCUUUUGCUAAUAGAUGAGCCUGCGUAGGAUUAGCUAGUUGGUGGGGUAAAAGCUCACCAAGGCGACGAUCCUUAACUGGUUUGAGAGAAUGAUCAGCCACACUGGAACUGAGACACGGUCCAGACUCCUACGGGAGGCAGCAGUGGGGAAUUUUGGACAAUGGGCGAAAGCCUGAUCCAGCCAUUCCGCGUGCAGGAUGAAGGCCCUCGGGUUGUAAACUGCCUUUGUACAGAACGAAAAGGUUUCUACUAAUACUAGGAGCUCAUGACGGUACUGUAAGAAUAAGCACCGGCUAACUACGUGCCAGCCGCCGCCGUAA